CGGACGGGUGAGUAAUGUCUGGGAAACUGCCCGAUGGAGGGGAUAACUACUGGAAACGGUAGCUAAUACCGCAUAACGUCGCAAGACCAAAGAGGGGACCUUCGGGCCUCUUGCCAUCGGAUGUGCCCAGAUGGGAUUAGCUAGUAGGUGGGGUAACGGCUCACCUAGGCGACGAUCCCUAGCUGGUCUGAGAGGAUGACCAGCCACACUGGAACUGAGACACGGUCCAGACUCCUACGGGAGGCAGCAGGG
rnacentral:rRNA from 1 species